UGGAAUGCCCUUUUGCCCUUUUUACCACUUCCAUUUAAUGUAGUCCUUGAAACUCUAGCCAGAGCAAUUAGAUAGAUGAAAGAAAGGAAUUAAAGAAACACGGCUAGAAAAAGAAGAACUCAAACUAUCACUAUUUGCCAACAACAUGAUUCUAUACUUAGAGGAUCCAAAAUAUUUCACAAGAAAACUUCUAGAAGUCAUUCUGAAUUAAUUCAGUAAAGUAGAAGGAUAUAAAACCAACACCCAUAAAUCAAAUGUGUUUAUGUACCUCAGUCAUAAAUCCUCUAAAAGAGAAACUAGGAAAACUACCCCAUUUACAAUAGCCUCAAACAAAUAAAAUAAAAUAAAACAAAAUACUUGGGAAUAAACAAAAGAGGUGAAAGACCUCUACAAUAAAAACUACAGAAUGCUAAAUAACUAAAUUAAAGAAGACCUUAGAAGAUGGAAAGAUCUCCCUUGUUUUUGGCUAGGCAGAAUUAAUAUUGUCAAAAUGACCAUACUACCAAAAGCACUAUACACAUUUAAUAAAUUUCAAUCAAAACCCCAUGAUAUUCCUCAUAUAAAUAGAAAAAUACAAUUGUGUAAACCAUCUGGAAAAAUAAGAGACCAGAAUAGCCAAAGCAAUCCUUAGAAGAGUGAAGCAGGUGGCAUCACAAUACCAGAGAUUCAACUAUCCUACAGAGCAAUAAAAGCAAAAAUGGCAUGGUAUUGGCACCAAAAUAGACAUGUAGACCAGUGAUACAUAAUAGAGGACACAGAGACAAACCCACAUAAAUACAGUUAUCUCAUACUAGAGAAAGGCACCAAAAACAUAAUGGAGAAAAGAUAGCCUCUUCAACAAAUGGUGCUGGGAAAACUGAAAAUCCAUAUGCAGUAAAAUGAAAUCAAGUCAUUAUCUCUCACCAUUCACAAAACUCAACUCAAAGUGCAUCAAGGAUCCAGGAAUUUGACCAGAGACCCUGUGCCUAAUAGAAGAAAAUGUAGGCCCAAAUUUUCCUCAUGUCAUAUCAGGCCCUGAAUUCCUUAACAAGAUUCCUAUAGCACAAGAAACACAAUCAAGAAUCAAUAAAUGGGAUGGAUUCAAAUUAAAAAGCUGCUUCUCAGCAAAAGAAGCAAUCAGUAAGAAAAACUUUUCAUGUAGGUAACAAGCAAAUAUUAUGAGAUGAUUUUUGUCCAACUUCUUCAUUGAGCAUUAGGAUAUGAAUCUGUGGAUUCAGUUAUUG
rnacentral:lncRNA from 1 species